GACAGAGGUGCCAAGCGUUAGGCGGAAUCACUGGGCUUAAAGCGUGUGUAGGCGGAAUUGUAAGUACCUUGUGAAAUCCCACGGCUCAACCGUGGAACUGCUCGGUAUACUGCUUUUCUUGAGCCACUUAGGGGCUGUCGGAACAAACGGUGGAGCGGUGAAAUGCGUAGAUAUCGGAAGGAACACCAGUGGCGAAAGCGGCUUCCUGGUCCAGCACCGACGUUCAGGCACGAAAGCGUGGGGAGCAAACAGG
rnacentral:rRNA from 1 species